UGGGGAAUCUUGGACAAUGGGCGCAAGCCUGAUCCAGCCAUGCCGCGUGGAUGAUGAAGGCCUUAGGGUUGUAAAAUCCUUUCGCCGAGGACGAUAAUGACGGUACUCGGAGAAGAAGCUCCGGCUAACUUCGUGCCAGCAGCCGCGGUAAUACGAAGGGGGCUAGCGUUGUUCGGAUUUACUGGGCGUAAAGCGCGUGUAGGCGGGUUGGAAAGUUGGGGGUGAAAUCCCGAGGCUCAACCUCGGAACUGCCUCCAAAACUGGCGACCUGGACCUAAGUAGAGGCAAGUGGAAUUGCGAGUGUAGAGGUGAAAUUCGUAGAUAUUCGCAGGAACACCAGUGGCGAAGGCGACUUGCUGGACUUAUGGUGACGCUGAGACGCGAAAGCGUGGGGAGCAAACAGGAUUAGAUACCCCCGUAGUCCCUGAGCGGGCUGGCAAGGCGCAU
rnacentral:rRNA from 1 species